rnacentral:rRNA from 1 species
UGGGAAUAUGGACAAUGGCGCAAGCCUGAUCCAGCCAUGCCGCGUGAACGAUGAAGGCCUUAGGGUUGUAAAGUUCUUUUGUCAGGGAAGAUAAUGACGGUACCUGAAGAAUAAGCACCGGCUAACUUCGUGCCAGCAGCCGCGGUAAUACGAAGGGUGCUAGCGUUGUUCGGAAUCACUGGGCGUAAAGCGCGCGUAGGCGGCUUAACAAGUCAGAGGUGAAAGCCUGGAGCUCAACUCCAGAACUGCCUUUGAAACUGUUAAGCUUGAGUGUCGGAGGGGAUAGCGGAAUUUCUAAUGUAGAGGUGAAAUUCGUAGAUAUUAGAAGGAACACCGGUGGCGAAGGCGGCUAUCUGGACGACAACUGACGCUGAGGCGCGAAAGCGUGGGGAUCAAACAGGAUUAGAUACCCAUGUAGUCCCUGAGCGGGCUGGCAAGGCGCAU